AGCCAGACUCCUACGGGAGGCAGCAGUGGGGAAUAUUGGACAAUGGGGGGAACCCUGAUCCAGCGACGCCGCGUGAGUGAAGAAGUAUUUCGGUAUGUAAAGCUCUCUCAGCAGGGAAGAAAGAAAUGACGGUACCUGUCGAAUAAGCCACGGCUAACUACGUGCCAGCAGCCGCGGUAAUACGUAGGUGGCAAGCGUUGUCCGGAUUUACUGGGUGUAAAGGGCGUGUAGCCGGGCUGACAAGUCAGAUGUGAAAUCCGGGGGCUCAACCCCCGAACUGCAUUUGAAACUGUUGGUCUUGAGUAUCGGAGAGGCAGGCGGAAUUCCUAGUGUAGCGGUGAAAUGCGUAGAUAUUAGGAGGAACACCAGUGGCGAAGGCGGCCUGCUGGACGACAACUGACGGUGAGGCGCGAAAGCGUGGGGAGCAAGCAGGAUUAGAUACCCGCGUA
rnacentral:rRNA from 1 species